rnacentral:rRNA from 1 species
CUCAAAGAUUAAGCCAUGCAAGUGGUUAUAUUAACCCGACAGUUUAAAUAAGUGUUAAAAUGCUACCCACCAUACACACAUAUGGUAGUAACAUAUCAUUACGCACAGUGAUACACACAUAUAUCACUUACGCAACUGCAGACAGCUGCUUAAUACAGUCACACUUGUCUUGACUUGGCACUGUGUUGUUAUCAUAUUAUGAUACACACACACACACACACACAUUGUGAUUUCUCUGUAUCGYUUAUCUUAUAAGGCAUGCGUUACACCGUGACAAAUUUCUUUAUGGAUAACUCAGGGAAAGUUUGGCUAAUACGUACGAGUAUUUAUACAUACACACACACAUCACAUCAUUACUCAGCACUCAAUGGUAAACUUUGGCUUUCGUUCGCGAUCGCCAGUUUAAAGUUUAACUGCAACAUGAGAGACAUUGAGCACGCAUGUGAUUUUGCCUUCGGGCGAUUUCACACUUUUACGCUGAGCAGACUUUGCGAAGUUUACUUUGCGAAGCAUGUCAUACAAGCAUCUACAGCAUCAAGUCACAGGGUUGGCAAGUGUAUUUUUGAACUUUCAAAGCAGUCACGCAUACGGAAGAGUAGUUUCUGAUCCCAUAGAAGGAGCACCGUACAAUGAGAGACCGCUCUUAGUUCUAAGGAACGCAGCAGGCGCGUAAAUUGCCCAAUGCUAGUACCCUACAAUCAUAUAUCUGAUUGAUAUUAUUACGCGUUAACAAUUUACUUAUAAUAUACUUUACGUAUAUAUAAGCAUUAUAUAACACACAUAUUAUUUAUUCGUGUCACACACACACAUACUUGUUMACKGAUAUCNUCAUUCAUAUGKAWUUACAUUUACUGAGGCAGUGACAAGCUGUAACGGUUGAGUAUAAAAAUGACGAGUGUCUGGCAUUGCCGCUCCUUCGGGAGCUUGGCAAGUUGCCGACGCUUUGUGUGCUCAAUUGGAAUGCGGUGAGUUUAAGCAACUCAGAACCUUUGACCGGUGUUAUGAAUUAAUUUCACUGUUCAUGUAUCUGAAUUUCAAGUGGAGGGCAAGUCUGGUGCCAGCAGCCGCGGUAAUACCAGCUCCACUGGCCUAUACAAUCAUUGUUGCKGUUAAGAGGCUYGUAGUUGGAUUGAACUACAAUCACUYAGAKAAAUAMUKUAUUAUUCUCUCUGCGUUUGUUAGUUAUAUAUACUUUACGUAUAUAUCUCGACGCUAACCAAUUUAUUACAUGCACAACGGUUUAUCCGUCGCAUACGUAAUAAUUUCUACACACACAUACGCUCUUAUCGACGCAUCGAUACACUGCAUCGCAGAGAAUUUAUUCUCUCUGAUCACCUUUCAACACUGUGAACAAAUCAGAGUGUAUCAAACAUGUCGUUUUUGAAUGUGCAUUGAAUGUCUUAUCAUGGGAUGUUGCACUUUCAGCCUGUUAGAAUUUAUUUUUACGUAACGCACACACAUAAACCUGCCGCAUACACAUAAUAAUUUUAACGGUUAAAAAUGUCGAUGGGGAUAGUUGGAGUCAACAGUACUGCUGGGCGAGAGGUGAAAUUCAUUGACCCUAGCAAGACUACCAAAAGCGAAAGCAAUUGGCUAGGCUAUACUCUUUGUGCUGAGCGCGAUAAAUUACAUAUUAUUCACACACACACAUUAUACUGUAUUAUAUCGACGCUCUUACACUUUACAAUGAAGAACGAAGGUUGGGGGAUCAAAGAGGGUCAGAUACCCUCGUCGUCCCAUUAAUUACAUCAAACGAUGGGCUCUCAAUUGCAUUUUUCUAUAAAAUUGCAAAUCUCCUCAGCCUACAAAAUGACUUGGCUUGAGCUCGUAACUCUGUUACGCUCGCCUGACUAUUUUCGUACGGUCUCGAUGGACGUUUCAUUUUAUUAUAUUUUUGCGUGUAAGCAUUGUAUUUAUUCUUUGAAACAUAAGAAUGUACUGCGUGCACUUGAUUUUCGGAGCUUUGCGCUCAAUUCUGGUGAGAUGUAAGCACUAUGUUAACUGUUACCCGCAGUAUAUAACUUCGGUUAUUUUACUUGUCGUGUUUGUAACUUAACAAUUUCGGUGUGAAGCACGCUUUAGGCACGCGCUUACUGCAGAAAUGUCUGAGACAUUGCUUUCCUGGGGUAGUAUGCACGCAAGUGUGAAACUUGAAGGAAUUGACGGAAGGGCACCACAAGAACGCGUGGAGCAUGUGGCUUAAUUUGACUCAACGCGGGAAAUCUUACCGGGUCCGGACACACUGAGGAUUGACAGGUAUUAUUACGCAUCAGUAAAUUUAUUUAUUGUGCGUAUGUUAAAUAUGCUAGUCCUUUCAUGAUUAUGUGAUAGGUGGUGCAUGGCCGUUCUUAGUUCGUGGAGUGAUCUGUCUGCUUAAUUGCGUUUCACUAAAGGUCUAUAAUUUAACGUAUGUUGCUGGCGCUUUGACCCCUCAUUAAUUUGAGCGCGUGUCUUAGUUAUGCUUAGCUCAUACAUUUAGACCUUGAAAGCAACGAACGUGACCGCAACCUCUUGUUGCCUUUAUACCAAAUGCGUCAUACGAUUUUUAUCGCAAUGUCGCACAAAAAGGCCUUUUAAACUAGAGGGACCGCUGUUACUUUCUUAAACCAGAGGAAGGUUGCGGCAAUAACAGGUCUGUGAUGCCCUUAGAUGUUCCGGGCUGCACACGUGCUACAAUGAUUAUUGCAGUGAGCAUCUCAUUUUAUUACACACCGCAUGCGCGAGUCCAUUUAUUCACUUCGGUGCUUUAAAUGUGUAUCUCUGCGCGCGGUAAAGCCUGCUUCGAAAGUAAGUGGGUAAUCAAUUAGAAGUAAUGAUUUCCUUUUUUUAUUCGCACACAUAUAUACGGCAACUUUACCCGGCCUGCCUUGUUGCAGUGUCUCUGUGUGUAUUGUUGUUUUUUUCCGUAUGUGCAAUUGUCAAUUCAUGGUGGGGACAGACCAUUGUUAAUUGUUGGUCUCGGUCUUAACUAGGAAUGCCUUGUACGGGUCUUUGGUUCAACAAACCACCCGGAAUACGUCCCUGCCCUUUGUACACACCGCCCGUCGCUCUUACCGAUGGACUUCUCUGUGAGUUUGAGGGACUGGAUAUUUAUUUCUAUGGAAACUUAAACGAACAGUGUGGUCUAAAGGAAAGAGAAGUCGUAACAAGGCAUCGGUAGGUGAACCU